AAACUGUUAGAAUGAGUCCUAGAAGUGUCAAUAGCAGAAAGGAGUCUUGGAUUAGAUCACCAAAACUUUGAUGAGGUUUUUUAUGGGCAGAGCUGGGCUCUGGCUGAAGGUGCAGUAAUGAUCCUAACAACGCAGUCACUGAACUUCCAGUUAUUGAAAGAAGGCCAGGCUCAGCUCUAAUCCUGGUUGUUCCAAUUAAUUUCUAAUUAAACACAACUGUCACAAGCACAAAUGCAGGUGAAGGUGAAAGCAGAACUUUUCAAUAAUGUCCCUUUCACAUCUUUUUGAUUUCUGCAGCGUUAGUGAGGAGCAGAGUAAGGAAGUCAAAGGUGAGGACGCAGAAGAGUCCUGUGCAGCUACAGAAAACAAAAGUUAGCAGCUAGCCUUAAGAAAUCUCUCACUCAGCAAAACUUUGAAAAACAUGAACUUUCAAAUCCAGACUGGAAGCAGCAAGGCACAGAACCCGUGAUGCUGACCCACCCUGCUGCUCUGAAUCGCUCACCCUCACCUUCCCUGCUGGGUUACCCAAGGCACUUCAGCUCUUACAGGUACUGCAGUGGGCAGAAGCAGGCAGGGGGGAGCACUGAGGUCAGCUAACCCCUGUAUUGAACUUCCUGCACCAGUCUGGAUGGGGUGGUAUGAAAAGAAACCCAAAGCAUCCCAUUAGCAUCCUCAUUUCAUUCCACAGAUCACAGGUGCUGGACAAAUCUGGAAAAGAACUGUGGAAAGUAAUUUUCACAUUAAUGUCCAAACGAGAAGUCCUCUGUUCCCAUUUCACAACACAGGGAACUGCCCUGAGUUCAGGGUUUUUUGAGUUCACAGAGAAACAUGUGCGAUUUGAUGAAAUCCAGUGCUGAGACAUUUCAGGUCUCUAGAAGAUUCAGGCUACCUUCCACUUCAUCUCAGCAAUACUUGGGGAAAAAAAAAAAAAAAAAGAGUCAGCUGCCUCAUGCUUAUCUGGCACUUGUCCUUGGAGGCUGUUAUCACGGUACUUCGCCAGCCAGGGCCACCCUGAAGCCCAGUGACUGCAGCAGCCGGAGAUUAAGCGGCUAACCCAAGGUCACCCAGUGGAGCAAGGCAUCACCUCGUCCUCUGCUGGGCUUCCUUCUACCUUUUUCCCCCUCUAGUAAGAGGCUGCGCGGGUGCCAGCACAGGGAGCAGGAAUAAUUUUAGAGCUUUUAGCUCAGGCAGCGCACCCCUCAGCCCCCCUCAGCUCCCUCAGCCCGGGCUGCCCCAGCAUCUCCACAAGCACCGGGGCGGCAGCGCCUGAGGAGGCGCCAUCCCCCGCCGGUCUCUGCCGCCGGCCCCACAGCCUCACGCCCCCGAACCCCUCCCGGUUCCUCUCGGUAGCGGCGGCCCCUUACCUGCCGCCGGGACGGCUCUGCCCAGCACC